rnacentral:rRNA from 1 species
AGGACGAACGCUGGCGGCGUGCCUAACACAUGCAAGUCGAACGAGGUCCAACCGGUAGCAAUACCGGUGAAGACCAAGUGGCGAACGGGUGAGUAGCACGUGAGCAACCUGCCCCGAAGACCGGGACAACACCGGGAAACCGGUGCUAAUACCGGAUAUCCCCACCGAGUCGCAUGGCUUGGUGAGGAAAUGGAUUCCGCUUCGGGAGGGGCUCGCGGCCUAUCAGCUUGUUGGUGAGGUAACGGCUCACCAAGGCUUCGACGGGUAGCUGGUCUGAGAGGACGAUCAGCCACACUGGGACUGAGACACGGCCCAGACUCCUACGGGAGGCAGCAGUGGGGAAUCUUGCACAAUGGGCGAAAGCCUGAUGCAGCAACGCCGCGUGAGGGACGAAGGCUUUCUGAGUUGUAAACCUCUUUCAGCAGGGACGAUUGUGACGGUACCUGCAGAAGAAGCCCGGCAACUACGUGCCAGCAGCCGCGGU